ACUGAGUGUUUAUAAUAGGGAAUGGCAGUCAGUAGUAUUAUCUUCAAAUUUUAGAGACACCGCUAUGGUACCGUCUUCAAAGUUCUCAUCCUGGUAUCACCAUUGUAAGAAAAACAGUGUACCACUGAGGAAGGCCUUUACAACUUUCUAUUUCCAAACUAUGUCCUCAGCAUAUCUUGAAGGGAGAAUUUGCAGAUUCCCAGUGGAGCAGCACCUUUGUCCUUGUGGCGCUGGUCAUGUGGAGGACAUCAUCCACUACAUCCUUUAUUGCCCUAUUUACAAUGUGAUCAGGGGAAAAACAUGGAUGAUAGGGAAGAGAGAAAGAACAUAAGAACAGCCCUGCUGGAUCAGGCCCAAGGCCCAUCUAGUCCAGUAUCCUGCUUCACACAGGGGCCCAACAGAUGCCUCUGGGAAGCCCACAAAAUUCUCCAGAACAUCCACAGAACAUCCAGUGCUGAUGAGACAGCACAUGAGCAUUGAGAACACCACACAAAAAGAAUCUUGAUGUCAUAUUGGCCCAUGCCACAAGAUGCGCAGCAUUACUGUUGAACAGCUUCAGUUCUACUACAGCAUCCUCUUGGAACCAUCUAUGAACCAUUGUUAUUUGAAAAGCAAGGUAUUUUAUUACAUUUUCAGUAACCAGGACUCUAUAGCAAUGUUUUAAAUAGACCUGGGCAACCCUGGUGAGAAAACCUGCUGCUUUUAAAGCAGAGGUUUCUUGAUGUGCCUUAGGUUUCUACCCUAAUUAAAACUCAAGAGGAUUUGUAAA